rfam:Acyrthosiphon pisum strain LSR1 Contig41736, whole genome shotgun sequence.
GUCGGUUACGGUGACAUGGCCCCGAAAACUUACGUGGGCAUGUUCGUCGGUGCCCUGUGCGCGCUGGCCGGUGUGCUCACCAUCGCCCUGCCCGUUCCCGUCAUCGUGUCCAAC